rnacentral:rRNA from 1 species
AGAGUUUGAUCAUGGCUCAGAACGAACGCUGGCGGCAGGCUUAACACAUGCAAGUCGAACGCGUGUAGCAAUACACGAGUGGCGCACGGGUGAGUAACGCGUGGAUAUCUGCCUUUUGGUUCGGAAUAACUCCGGGAAACUGGAGCUAAUACCGGAUGGUUCCUACGGGAUAAAGAUUUAUCGCCAAAAGAUGAGUCCGCGUACGAUUAGCUAGUUGGUGAGGUAAUGGCUCACCAAGGCGACGAUCGUUAGCUGGUCUGAGAGGACGAUCAGCCACACUGGGACUGAGACACGGCCCAGACUCCUACGGGAGGCAGCAGUGGGGAAUAUUGGACAAUGGGGGCAACCCUGAUCCAGCCAUGCCGCGUGAGUGAUGAAGGCCUUCGGGUUGUAAAGCUCUUUUGGCGGGGACGAUGAUGACGGUACCCGCAGAAUAAGCCCCGGCUAACUUCGUG